AUUGAACGCUGGCGGCAGGCCUAACACAUGCAAGUCGAGCGCGUGGCGGACGGGUGAGUAAUGUGUGGGAAACUGCCUGAUGGAGGGGGAUAUAUACUGGAAACUGUAGCUAAUAGCGCAUACCAUCAGAUGUGCCCAGAUGGGAUUAGCUUGUGGGUGGGGUAACGGCUCACCAAGGCGACGAUCCCUAGCUGGUCUGAGAGGAUGACCAGCCACACUGGAACUGAGACACGGUCCAGACUCCUACGGGAGGCAGAAGUGGGGAAUAUUGCACAAUGGGCGCAAGCCUGAUGCAGCCAUGCCGCGUGUAUGAAGAAGGCCCUAGGGUUGUAAAGUACUUUCAGUGGGGAGGCGUUACCCGCAGAAGAAGCACCGGCUAACUCCGUGCCAGCAGCCGCGGUAAUUC
rnacentral:rRNA from 1 species